rnacentral:rRNA from 1 species
CUAGCGGCAGGCUUAACACAUGCAAGUCGAGGGGUAACAUUGGGUGUUUACACUCAGAUGACGACCGGCGGAUGGGUGAGUAACGAGUAUGUAACCUACCUGUUACUAAAGGAUAGCCCGAAGAAAUUUGGAUUAAUCCUUUAUGAUAUCUUUUUUUGGCAUCGAUUUAAGAUUAAAGAAUUUUCGGUAAUAGAUGGGCAUGCUUUCUAUUAGAUAGUUGGUAAGGUAAAGGCUUACCAAGUCGACGAUAGAUAGGGGCUCUGAGAGGAUUUCCCCCCACACUGGAACUGAGAACGGUCCAGACUCCUACGGGAGGCAGCAGUGAGGAAUAUUGGGCAAUGGAGGCAACUCUGACCCAGCCAUGCCGCGUGCAGGAUUACGAUCGACAAGAUUUUAAACUGCUUUUAUAAUGGGAAAAUCAUCAAUUUGCGAAUUGAUUUGCUGUUACAUUAUGAAUAAGAAUCGGCUAACUCCGUGCCAGCAGCCGCGGUAAUACGGGGGAUUCAAGCGUUAUCCGGACUUAUUGGGUUUAAAGGGUGCGUAGGCUGAUAAAUCAGUCAGCGGUGAAAUUUACGGGCUUAACUUGUAGCUUGCCGUUGAAACUAUUUAUCUAGAGAUAUUUCGGCGUAUGCGGAAUGUAUCAAGUAGCGGUGAAAUGCAUAGAUAUGCUACAGAACACCAAUCGCGAAGGCAGCAUACGAGGCAUCAUCUGACGCUGAUGCACGAAAGCGUGGGGAUCAAACAGGAUUAGAUACCCUGGUAGUCCACGCUGUAAACUAUGAUAACUAUCUUUUAGCGAUACACAGUUAGAGGGUACGAGAAAUCAUUAAGUUAUCCACCUGGGGAUUACGUUCGCAAGAAUGAAACUCAAAGGAAUUGACGGGGGCCCGCACAAGCGGAGGAGCAUGUGGUUUAAUUCGAUGAUACGCGAGGAACCUUACCCGGGCUCGAACGGUACAUGAAUUAUAUUGGAAACUGUAUAAGUCUUUCGGGACAUGUAUCGAGGUGCUGCAUGGUUGUCGUCAGCUCGUGCCGUGAGGUGUCAGGUUAAGUCCUAUAACGAGCGCAACCCCUAUAUUUAGUUACCAGCACGUAGUGGUGGGGACUCUAGAUAUACUGCCUACGCAAGUAGUGAGGAAGGUGGGGAUGACGUCAAAUCAGCACGGCCCUUAUGUCCGGGGCUACACACGUGCUACAAUGGUCAAAACAGCGGGCAGCUACUCAGUGAUGAGAUGCUAAUCCAUAAAAAUUGAUCACAGUUCGGAUCGAAGUCUGCAACUCGACUUCGUGAAGUUGGAUUCGCUAGUAAUCGCAUAUCAGCCAUGAUGCGGUGAAUACGUUCCCGGGCCUUGUACACACCGCCCGUCAAGCCAUGGAAGCUGGGGGUACCUAAAAUGCGUGACCUACGGGAGCGUAUUAGGGUAAG